GGAUGGGCUGUGAAGAAGAAGGGGUUAGUGCUGUGAGGAGAUGCUCAUGAGAAAUUACCAAGAAGAAUUUACAGUUGUGUCUCCUGUCCCUGUGGAGGAGAUGGAGCUUUCCAGCUAUGGCAGCUCCCUGUGAGACCCUGCUCUCCUUCUACUUCCUUGUCCUCCUCAUUCACAGCUGUCUCCAGCCACCUUGAUGGGGCUGUGCAGCCAAAGGCAGGGCAUGGACAUUGUGAUACUCCUGUCACCUACAGCUGCCCACAUGCCAGAUUCACAUACCCCAGCUGUCCAUGCAAAACUGGACUGGUUUUGUCUGGGUGAUCCUUCCAGCGUGUCAGUGAGGCAGGACUGAAUGCACUGAAUAUUCUGGGUUUGUUUUCACUUGAUUAUGAUCCAUUUUGGUAAGUGUCCAGGGGUUUGAUUUAAUACAGUGAAUCUGAAACCUGGGCAAUGCCUCUGCUCUUCACUCCAGCACAUAAUACUUCCUGGCUUUGAUCUUUUGCAGUGGGUUUUAUAUCUGCUGCAAUUUGUUGGGAAUGGCUUCUGUAAGUGUCCUUUUUAUGCAUCCAUUACCUGUGUGCAAGCUGGUCUGUCUCAGUUCAGCACUCCUGCAAAGCCAGUGCUUGCAUGCAGCAACUGCAGCAUUAUGUUGUCCCUGAUGUUUCAGCCCAUGUGAAAACACUUCAUUUCCAAGCUGCCUUUUAGCUCUGGCUCUUCAUGUGGUGAUUUGGGUUCUUUGCUUCUUUAGUUCUGGUUUUGUCACCCCACUUCCGACAGGCAGCCAUGUGCACUGGAUGGAAGUGGGAAAGCACAGCUUGCACAAUCUGUAGCUCCUGGGUGUCCAUGGCACCUUACCCCAGAGUCCAGGGGUUCAUCCCAUGCCAAAUGAGCUGUGGUGAUUUUUUUCUGCUCAGCUUGCUCCUUCCCAAACCAACCAUGAGACAUGAAACGCCUGUCAUGGCAAGCCAGGAGCCAUGUGGCUUUGGCCAGCCCUCAUCCACAGGGGAUUUGGGCGCUUGUUUUGUAGAGUGAAGUGAGGACAAAAGAAAGCCCAGGGGCCCUGAGCAGCCCAGUUCUGGGCAGGAGAGCUGAAGGAAAGGGUUUGUUCUGCAGAAACCUGAACUCUCAAAGCAGCAAGGAUUACACUGGUUUUUUUCUCAGGAUGUAAUUAAAUCUUCCUCAUUUGUGCAAGCUAGAGUGGAGAGAAUUGUAUUUAUUUUAAAGAUUGGAAGUGCAGAGGAUUGUGUGGCUGUACCCUGUCCUUUUUGCUGCCAUCAUCUGGAUGCCUGUAAGUAAGCCUAGGAGCAAGGCCCAGAGACCACCAAGUACUUGGGUUCUUGGACACUACUGGAAUGUCAUUUUAAAUAGCACAAAGGGGCUCUGCAGGGAGGUGGUGAAUCUGCAACAUGGGGCAGGGCUGGAGGGCCCUCAGCUAGCUCAGGAAUUGCUGUGGCUCAUGAGACACUUGACUUCCCUGAAGGAAGAUGAAGAACUUGCCCCAAGACCAGCUCAGUGACUUUGUCCCCACAAGCAAGAGCUUUGCACCAUAUUAAGCCGUUUCUGGCCAAGUCUGGAUCUAAAUGGGGUGUCCCAGCCAGGGGGAAGGCUCCUCUGCCUCCAGGAAGCCUACUACCCUCCCAACAUGAUGGUCAAAACCACAGUG